rnacentral:rRNA from 1 species
AUUGAACGCUGGCGGCAUGCCUUACACAUGCAAGUCGAACGGCAGCACGGGUGCUUGCACCUGGUGGCGAGUGGCGAACGGGUGAGUAAUACAUCGGAACAUGUCCUGUAGUGGGGGAUAGCCCGGCGAAAGCCGGAUUAAUACCGCAUACGAUCUACGGAUGAAAGCGGGGGACCUUCGGGCCUCGCGCUAUAGGGUUGGCCGAUGGCUGAUUAGCUAGUUGGUGGGGUAAAGGCCUACCAAGGCGACGAUCAGUAGCUGGUCUGAGAGGACGACCAGCCAAACUGGGACUGAGCCACGGCCCAGACCCCUACGGGAGGCAGCGGGGGGGAAUUUGGGAAAAGGGGCGAAAGCCUGAUCCAGAAAUGCCGCGUGGGUGAAGAAGGCCUUCGGGUUGUAAAGCAUUUUUGUCCGGAAAGAAAUCCUUGGCCCUAAGACGGUGGGGGGAUGAGGGUACCGGAAGAAUAAGCACCGGCUAACUACGG